rnacentral:rRNA from 1 species
GAUGAACGCUGGCGGCGUGCCUAGUACAUGCAAGUCGAGCGAACAGACGAGGAGCUUGCGCCUCUGACGUUAGCGGCGGACGGGAGAGUAACACGCGGAUACCCUACCUAUAAGACUGGGAUAACUUCGGGAAACCGGAGCUAAUACCGGAUAAGAUAUUGAACCGCAUGGUGCAAUAGUGAAAUACGGCGUUUGUGGCACUAAUAGAUGGAUCUGGGCCGUAUUAGCUAGUUGGUAAGGUAACGGGUUACCAAGGGAAGGAUGCGUAGCCGAACGGAGAGGCGGGUCGGCCACCCGGGAGCUGGAACGCGGACCAGACGCCUACGGGAGGCAGCAGUAUGGAACCUUCGGCAGUGGGCGAAAGCCUGGCGGAGCAACGGCGCGUGAGUGAUGGAGGUGUUGGGAUCGUGAAACUCUGUUAUGAGGGGUGAACAAAUGUGUAAGUAACUGUGCACGUCGUGACGGUACCUAGUCAGAAAGCAACGGCUAACUACGUG